UUAGGGCCAUGUUCCUCAGGGCUGCAGUCCCUCUGAGCUCCACAAGGUGGUGAUCUCACAUCUAGCCAGACAGGAAGUCUGUAUGGAGGGCAGGAAGUGAUGUCAGGGGCAGACAGGAAGUGUUGUCAGGCUCAGACAGGAAGUUCUGUGUUUGAGGAAUUAUAAAGAAGAAGAUUUGCUGGAACUGGCAGCAGAGGAGGAAACCUGUAUAGAUCACAUGACCAAUAAGAAUGGAGGAGAACCAGAGUCACAUGAUCGAAAAGAUACUAAACCUCACCCUGGAGAUCAUCUACCUGCUGACCGGAGAGAGAUUUCCUCUUGUGAAGUCAGGUGAUCAUAUGACC